ensembl:lncRNA
GGUAGAGGAGGAAAGAGGGGAAGGAGAGGUAGAGGAGGAAAGAGAGGAAGGAGAGGUAGAGGCGGAAGGAGAGGGAAGGAGAGGUAGAAGAAGAAGGAGAGGUAGAAGAGGAAGGAGAGGUAGAGAAGGAAGGAGAGGUAGAAGAGGAAGGAGAGGUAGAGAGGGAAGGAGAGGUAGAAGAGGAAGGAGAGGUAGAGGAGGAAGGAGAGGUAGAGGAGGAAGGAGUGGGAAAGAGAGGUAGAGGAGGAAGGAGAGGUAGAGGAGGAAGGAGAGGGAAGGAGAGUGAGAGGCAUGUGGACUUUGAUAUCUCUACGUGUGUAGAGGUUGAAGAGUCAGUCAAACCCUGGCCUGUCCUGUUCUGUCCUGUCCUCCUGUCCUGUCCUUAUACCUCACACCCAGUCAAACC